AGAAGAGGUAGAGGCGCGAUACUUAAUAGUACUGUUGUGGACGUAAGCAGGAUGAAGCAAUAGGAAAGGAAUUAUCGCCGAAGUAUAGAAUUAAAGCUUUAAUAUUCUAAUGCUGGGCUUAUGCAGAAUAUGUAUAAGACUGUCACAAAUGUUUUUGUGGUGAGCUAUCAUUCAG
rfam:Clostridium paraputrificum strain 373-A1 CP373A1_30, whole genome shotgun sequence.